CAUAGCGCGACCACAGCUGCAACAAUGGCGCACUAGAUCUAUAGCGCUCCUGUUGUAAUCUGUGGAAGAUUUGGAAUUUUUGAU